rnacentral:lncRNA from 1 species
UGGGAGGCGUGGCCGGCUGCGGGGAGGGGCGGGAGGCGGGAGCGUCGCGGAGCGCAGGCCUCGGAGGCCCCCGAGUUACCGCCAGCCGUAGACAGAGCUGGCCUGCGCCCCAGUCUUAGUUUUUCUCCCGGUGCCCCCUCCUCAGCCCUGGGCGCACCGCGCCGGGCCGAGCGGCUGGCUGCCUAGCGAGCCGGCCGCCCGACCCCGACUGGCGAAGCGACCCGGAGCCGUCCGGCCCAGGCGCACACGGAAGUGGUGAGUGUCACCGAGAGGUGGUGAGAAGCCUGCCGCAGUCUCGGCGACUGGCGAGGGGCGCGGAGUUUUACGCUGGCCGGAGGCGCGGCCGCGGCUCUUGAUGUGUCUCCGAGCGCCGCGCACCGCAGGCGACUCCGCGAGCGCCGCGCGGGACCCCGGGGUGGGGCGUGCGGGUGCCUGCGGGGACGGCGGGGGAUUUCCAGCCGAGCGGGGCCGGCGGCAGCGGGGAGGUCGCGAGGCAGGGGCCCGGGGCCAGGAGGGGAAAGGUUGAGUCUCGCCACCCCCUCCCCCCGAGCGCACCGCAAGUUUUCAUAAACAAGCCCGGAACGCGCUGUCAGACAUCCUGUUUAUACCACCCCGAGCUUCGGGCGCGGGCUUGAGGUCUGACGUCCCUUGGUCGCCGCGCGGAGAACUUGACCGCCAGCUCCCUGGCCCACUUGCUGGGGUGGGGGUGGUGGGGUGAGAGAUUUUUUUUUUUUUCCUAGCCAUUGGACGGAGGCUAAGUGUCUUUUUCAGUGUUGGGUUUUCGAGUCUGGUAGGGGUCUGGUAGGGAUCUCAGGAAACGCCCCUCCCCAUCUAGGUUCUGUUAAGGUACCUGGCGCCAGGUAGCCAGCGAGAAGGGCGACAUGAUGACCCUGGACGGGAGGACCAGGGAAGGGCAGCAGUGAGAAAGAACCAUGUAGGGAUUUGCGAAUUCUGCUGUAAAGGGACUUGAUUAACCGAAUCUGGGACUGGUCUGCGAACUCCUCGGACCUCAUCCGCGCGCGGCUGCCCAGUUGGCGUAUCUAAGGGGGGACGUUGCUUCAGCGGGACUAGUAAACACCUUUCUAAAGUCACUUCCUAAGGUUCCUGAAAUGUGGGCUCCUUGCAUAUGUGUUUACGAACGAAUUCUCUAGAGAGACUAGAUGAAAGGUGUGAUUAUUGCCAGAUGUUUGUGUGCCCAUCUGGGGACAAAUUCUCUGAUUUCCUGUGUGGGGAAGGGUAUCCUAUCCUCCCUGCCCUUGAUACGUGGCUGUGAGCUGUCUUGCUCCUGGUUGCAUACACUACUAUACAUACUAUUAAUCCAAUUCAUAGAGUUUUUCUCUCAGUGACAGGUAUUUACAGUGCUAUAAAAUUGUCGUUACUUCUGUCAGGGAGGAAGGCCCUGGGCCGUUAAAUGAUGGUAUAAUGCAGAGACUAUUAGGUGUGAGCAUGUAGUCUUUUGUUAUUCCCCCCGCCCCCCCCCCCAAAAAAAAAAAAAAAAAGGUUUGAGUUAUGUGUGGACAUAGCCACUGUGGGAAAUUAAGACGAGCAUUUUGUAUUGAUUAAAUUUUUGUUCCUCAGUUUCCAAAGCCCCAUUUUGUGUUGUCUGUUCACUUUUGCUUUUGGUGACUCUAAUGUUUUCCAAGACCUGGGAAUCAUUUUCAUUGAAGGAUCAAUGUGUUCUUUUGUACUCUGUGGUGAAGACUAAUGGAGACCACCAGGGUUCUGGACACUUCUGGUGCAGUAUGCUUUGUAAUAAGUAGAAAAUGUCUUCCGCAUACAGAUCCAGAUCACAUAAAGAC